GAACUGAGAACAGCUGAUGUUGAACUGGUUGCUAAGAAGGUGUCAUGUAGCAUAUUGGCUUAUAUAAACUCUUUGUGGUGAUUACAAAAUAGCUUCUUAUCUCUGUGGAUGUGCAACUCCUGAAACAUAAAGCUUGAGGACACAUGUACUAACUUAAUGUUUGUUGAAGACUUCUUGUCAAUUUUAUUAAGCUAUACUCAACCAAAAGAUGUACCCAGGUCCUAGGUCACUGACUGUUCAUGGUAUGCUGAUAGCUUCAAGACAUGACUGGUCAGGGAGCUAGAUAUUCUCAUCUAGGCACCCUUUUCCAUGAAAGGUUGAACCAGAUUAUCUUUUCAGACCCAUUCCAUCUGGGACUGUUCUGUGAUUCAUAGCAGCCCCCUAGGAAAUGAGGAAAGCUAUGAGAAACAGUCUCGAUUUCUACUGAGAUGUGGGCAUCAAUAGUUAGGGUUCCAGCAAGGGAAAUCUACUGAGCAGUUUAUAUCUAGACCACACUUUACCAUUCAAGUAGCCAAAUUCUAAAUGACAAAAAGUUUCCCGUUGUUUUUUCUCUUACAUUAAUGAAGAUACAGAAGAAUAGCUGCAGUGCUGCUUCAGCUCUUCUGGCUAGGUAACUAUGGUGAAGGUGUCUGUCCCCAUUAAGGAACAGGAUUUACACACAGAUUAAAAUUUACUUAAAAUCAGUACCUCAUGUCCCUCCACCAGGUAUGGAGCUACCACUCUUCUAUACAAAGGCAGACAUCACUACACAGGAGAGCUGCACAGAGAGUGUGUCUGGGAGUAAGCACCCUCCUCAUGGACCUCAGGAACCAGCAUACAGAUACUGCUGCAACACAAAUGUCUGUGCAGAGCAUCUCCAAGGACAGCUAUGAGCAGGGAUGAGGGAGACCUUUCUUGGGGGCUCCCCAAAACCCGGCGGUGGAAGCGAGAUCUCGCCCUGACGAAAACCCCUCGCUAGGCGGGCGCGAAGAGGUGUGCAGUGACCUCCCGCUGAUUUGGCGUUGCUUUGGGGCUUUCUUGGUUUUGCUUUGUUUUGUUUGUUAGUUUGUUUUGCCAGAGCAAACGCAAAAGAGGGGGAAAAAAUGAAAAAAAA
rnacentral:lncRNA from 1 species